rnacentral:rRNA from 1 species
AAACUAACAAGGAUUCCCCUAGUAGCGGCGAGCGAAGCGGGAAGAGCUCAAAUUUAUAAUCUGGCACCUUCGGUGUCCGAGUUGUAAUCUCUAGAAGUGUUUUCCGCGUUGGACCGCGCAUAAGUCUGUUGGAAUACAGCGGCACAGUGGUGAGACCCCCGUAUGUGGUGCGGACGCCCAGCACUUUGUGAUACACUUUCGAAGAGUCGAGUUGUUUGGGAAUGCAGCUCAAAUUGGGUGGUAAAUUCCAUCUAAAGCUAAAUAUUGGCGAGAGACCCGAUAGCGAACAAGUACCGUGAGGGAAAGAUGAAAAGCACUUUGGAAAGAGAGUUAACAGUACGUGAAAUUGUUGGAAGGGAAACGCUUGAAGUCAGACUUGCUUGCCGGGCAACCGGUUUGCAGGCCAGCAUCAGUUUUCCGGGGUGGAUGAUGGUAGAGAGAAGGUAGCAGUUUCGGCUGUGUUAUAGCUCUCUACUGGAUACACCUUGGGGGACUGAGGAACGCAGUGUGCCUUACGGCGGAGGUUUCGACCUCUUCACACUUAGGAUGCUGGUGGAAUGGCUUUAAACGAC